GAGAGCCCCUGUCUUUAGAAAGACUCUCUAGGGGGUAGGAUCAUUAUGCAGCAUCUCCCCUCUCUCUGGCUCUCUUUCUCUUUCUCUCUCUCUCCCUCAGUUUCCCUCUCUUUAUCUCUCUCUGUUUCUCUCUCAAUCUAUCUUUCUUCCUCUCUUCCUCUGUUUCUCUCUGUCUUUCUCUCUCUUUAGCCCUCCCUUUCUCUAUCCCUCUUUCUCUAUCCAGCCUCAGUGGCUCGACUGCUUGCCUGUGCAUCUUCCCCUCUUUUCUUCCUGUCUUCCUGUUUCUUCCUGUUUCUUCCUGUCUUCCUGUUUCUUCCUGUCUUCCUGUUUCUUCCUGUCUUCCUGUUUCUUCCUGUCUUGGCUUUUCUGUCUCGAUUUUUCUCCAUCUCCUCUCCUCUCAUCUUCUUCUUCUUCUCUCUUCUCUCCCUCCCCGUCCUGCUCUGUGUCUUUCCCUUCCUUCCCCUCCCUCUCUCUCUGUCUGUUCCUCCUUCUCUCUCUUCUCUCCCUCCCUCUCUCUCUCUGUCUGUUCCUCCCUCGCUCGUGCUCGCUGUUGCUUUGUCCUACUUUCUAUCUCCAGAGUGUCCCUCCAUUUGUCUGGAAAUGUCAGCUCUGCUCUGCUCUGCGCCUCUCCGCGCCUCUCCGCGCCUGACUUGCUUGUUUUGUUUUUAGUUCAGUUUGUCGCGCUCCUCUGUGAAUGCGUCCCAGACACCCGCUCUCGCUCGCAGCUGAUCUGGGCUCAGCUUCCAAACACAAGUGUACAGCAGUAAACAGGGACAUCACUGUCGGCCUCCAGUGGGGGGAGAGGCAGCCCCCGCUCGUCUCUCUCUCUCUCGGCCCCGGCGAAGCAGUGGAGCACACACACACUUAUCUGUGGGUCCUGCGGAACGCCAUGUUUUUCUUUAACCCUGACAGCGCCCGUGCAGCACCCGUGCAGCGAUGCAGUCACGCUUCCCCGGCCACGUCCGUCUCGGCGCAUUUGAAUACGCUGACAAGCUCAUUAUCGCAUCGGGAGUGACUGACAGAACCCUGC
rnacentral:lncRNA from 1 species